rnacentral:rRNA from 1 species
ACAUCCAGCGAACUUGGCAGAGAUGCCUUGGUGCCUUCGGGAACGCUGAGACAGGUGCUGCAUGGCUGUCGUCAGCUCGUGUUGUGAAAUGUUGGGUUAAGUCCCGNAACGAGCGCAACCCUUUAUCCUUUGUUGCCAGCGAUUCGGUCGGGAACUCAAAGGAGACUGCCGGUGAUAAACCGGAGGAAGGUGGGGAUGACGUCAAGUCAUCAUGGCCCUUACGAGUAGGGCUACACACGUGCUACAAUGGCGCAUACAAAGAGAAGCGACCUCGCGAGAGCAAGCGGACCUCAUAAAGUGCGUCGUAGUCCGGAUCGGAGUCUGCAACUCGACUCCGUGAAGUCGGAAUCGCUAGUAAUCGUGGAUCAGAAUGCCACGGUGAAUACGUUCCCGGGCCUUGUACACACCGCCCGUCACACCAUGGGAGUGGGUUGCAAAAGAAGUAGGUAGCUUAACCUUCGGGAGGGCGCUUACCACUUUGUGAUUCAUGGCUGGGGUGAAGUCGUAACAAGGUAGGCGUAGCGAG